rnacentral:rRNA from 1 species
UACGUAGGGGGCAAGCGUUGUCCGGAUUUAUUGGGCGUAAAGAGCGUGUAGGCGGUUUGGUAGGUCCGCUGUGAAAACUCGAGGCUCAACCUCGAGACGCCGGUGGAAACCAUCAGGCUAGAGUCCGGAAGAGGAGAGUGGAAUUCCUGGUGUAGCGGUGAAAUGCGCAGAUAUCAGGAAGAACACCCGUGGCUAAGGCGGCUCUCUGGCCCGGUACUGACGCUGAGGCACGAAAGCGUGGGGAGCAAACAGG